CAGCCGCCGCGGUGAUACGUAGGGUGCGAGCGUUGUCCGGAAUUAUUGGGCGUAAAGAGCUUGUAGGCGGUUUGUCACGUCGAAAGUGAAAACUCGGGCCUUAAUCCCGAGCUUGCUUUCGAUACGGGCUGACUAGAGGAAGGUAGGGGAGAACGGAAUUCCUGGUGGAGCGGUGGAAUGCGCAGAUAUCAGGAGGAACACCGGUGGCGAAGGCGGUUCUCUGGACCUUUCCUGACGCUGAGAAGCGAAAGCGUGGGGAGCAAACAGGCUUAGAUACCCUGGUAGUCCACGCCGUAAACGGUGGGCACUAGGUGUGGGUCACAUUCCACGUGAUCCGUGCCGCAGCUAACGCAUUAAGUGCCCCGCCUGGGGAGUACGGCCGCAAGGCUAAAACUCAAAGGAAUUGACGGGGGCCCGCACAAGCGGCGGAGCAUGCGGAUUAAUUCGAUGCAACGCGAAGAACCUUACCUGGGUUUGACAUAUGCCGGAAAGCUGCAGAGAUGUGGCCUCCCUUUGGGCCGGUUUACAGGUGGUGCAUGGCC
rnacentral:rRNA from 1 species